GAUGAACGCUGGCGGCGUGCCUAAUACAUGCAAGUAGAGCGCUGAAGGAAGGAGCUUGCUCUUUCCGGAUGAGUUGCGAACGGGUGAGUAACGCGUAGGUAACCUGCCUGGUAGCGGGGGAUAACUAUUGGAAACGAUAGCUAAUACCGCAUAACAGUAGAUGUUGCAUGAUAUCUACUUAAAAGGUGCAAUUGCACCACUACCAGAUGGACCUGCGUUGUAUUAGCUAGUUGGUGAGGUAACGGCUCACCAAGGCGACGAUACAUAGCCGACCUGAGAGGGUGAUCGGCCACACUGGGACUGAGACACGGCCCAGACUCCUACGGGAGGCAGCAGUAGGGAAUCUUCGGCAAUGGACGGAAGUCUGACCGAGCAACGCCGCGUGAGUGAAGAAGGUUCUCGGAUCGUAAAGCUCUGUUGUAAGAGAAGAACGAGUGUGAGAGUGGAAAGUUCACACUGUGACGGUAUCUUACCAGAAAGGGACGGCUAACUACGUG
rnacentral:rRNA from 1 species